rnacentral:rRNA from 1 species
GCUUCUUGGGUGACGAGCGGCGGACGGGUGAGUAACGCGUGGGAAUCUACCUGGUAGUGGGGGACAACAGUCGGAAACGACUGCUAAUACCGCAUACGCCCUUCGGGGGAAAGUGGGGGAUCUUCGGACCUCACGCUAUCAGAUGAGCCCGCGUCGGAUUAGCUUGUUGGUGAGGUAAAGGCUCACCAAGGCGAUGAUCCGUAGCUGGUCUGAGAGGAUGACCAGCCACACUGGGACUGAGACACGGCCCAGACUCCUACGGGAGGCAGCAGUGGGGAAUAUUGGACAAUGGGGGCAACCCUGAUCCAGCCAUGCCGCGUGUGUGAAGAAGGCCUUCGGGUUGUAAAGCACUUUCAGCUGUGAGGAAAGGCGAGUGGUUAAUACCCGCUUGCUGUGACGUUAACAGCAGAAGAAGGACCGGCUAACUCCGUGCCAGCAGCCGCGGUAAUACGGAGGGUCCGAGCGUUAAUCGGAAUUACUGGGCGUAAAGCGCGCGUAGGUGGUUCAGUCAGUCAGAUGUGAAAGCCCCGGGCUCAACCUGGGAACUGCACCUGAUACUGCUGAGCUAGAGUACGGUAGAGGGUAGUGGAAUUUCCGGUG